rnacentral:rRNA from 1 species
ACGGGUGAGUAACACGUGGGCAAUCUGCCCUUCACUCUGGGACAAGCCCUGGAAACGGGGUCUAAUACCGGAUAUCACUUCCACUCGCAUGGGUGGGGGUUGAAAGCUCCGGCGGUGAAGGAUGAGCCCGCGGCCUAUCAGCUUGUUGGUGAGGUAACGGCUCACCAAGGCGACGACGGGUAGCCGGCCUGAGAGGGCGACCGGCCACACUGGGACUGAGACACGGCCCAGACUCCUACGGGAGGCAGCAGUGGGGAAUAUUGCACAAUGGGCGAAAGCCUGAUGCAGCGACGCCGCGUGAGGGAUGACGGCCUUCGGGUUGUAAACCUCUUUCAGCAGGGAAGAAGCGAAAGUGACGGUACCUGCAGAAGAAGCGCCGGCUAACUACGUGCCAGCAGCCGCGGUAAUACGUAGGGCGCAAGCGUUGUCCGGAAUUAUUGGGCGUAAAGAGCUCGUAGGCGGCUUGUCACGUCGGGUGUGAAAGCCCGGGGCUUAACCCCGGGUCUGCAUUCGAUACGGGCUAGCUAGAGUGUGGUAGGGGAGAUCGGAAUUCCUGGUGUAGCGGUGAAAUGCGCAGA